rnacentral:rRNA from 1 species
UACAGAGGUCCCAAGCGUUGUUCGGAUUCACUGGGCGUAAAGGGUGCGCAGGUGGGUUUGCAAGUUCGAUGUGAAAGCCCCGGGCUUAACCCGGGAAUGGCAUUGGAUACUGCAGAUCUGGAGGAUCGGAGGGGGGACUGGAAUUCUUGGUGUAGCAGUGAAAUGCGUAGAUAUCUGGAGGAACACCGGUGGCGAAGGCGGCAUCCUGGACCGGUAUUGACACUGAGGCGCGAAAGCCAGGGGAGCAAACGGG